UCCAAGUACUGAUUUUUUUUUCUCUCUUUAAAAGAAAUCUUCAUAAAUGGAAGGAAAGAGAAAGAAAAAGGGGAAAACCUUUUAAGCUCAUUCUUUUAUUGGCAAUGCUACUUACCAAAACUUGUAUUCAAAGAGUAGGGGCAGUAACCGUCCCAGGCUCCCUUGUAACCACGUACAUAUAGAAAAGCAGGGACAGUAGUCCCACGUUUUCCUUAUAAAACGACGGCUGUCAGCCCCCUCUUCUUCUUUCUUCUCUCUGUCUGACACAACCUCGCUGCUUCAACCAACGCAAAACAACAUCUGGAAAUGACUACCUCAAAACGCCUUGCGGAAAGGAGGGUUGCAAGGUUUCAGAAGAACAUAUCAAGGAGGGGAUCUGUAGAAAGUUCAACCAAGAAAGCAUAUGGCUACCCCGUCGGCCCAAUUCUGCUGGGGUUUUUUGUCUUUGUGGUAGUUGGAUCAUCUCUUUUUCAGAUAAUCAGAAUUGCUAUUAGCAAAGGCAAAGGCAUGGCUUGAGGAGCUGAUGAAGAAUAAGAUGGAGGAGGUCCUUAAAUCAUGUAAUGAGUUGUUAAUUUGGCAAAGUAAAACAAUGUUGUAGAAACUGAUGUUAAGACAUCUUCCUUGGUUUUAAUAAAUUCUGGCCUCCAGUUCUUGUAUUGUUUUCUCAUCUC